GCAGAACGCGAAGAACCUUACCUACGCUUGACAUACCGGUUGGGAGGGCGAGAGAUGUCUCUCUUCAUUAGUUGGACCGGAUACAGGUGCUGCAUGGCUGUCGUCAGCUCGUGUCGUGAGAUGUUGGGUUAAGUCCCGCAACGAGCGCAACCCUUAUCGUAUGUUGCCAGCAUUAAGUUGGGCACUCGUGCGAGACCGCCGGUGACAAGCCGGAGGAAGGUGGGGACGACGUCAAGUCCUCAUGGCCCUUACGUCCAGGGCUACACACGUGCUACAAUGAACGGUACAAAGGGUCGCGAAACCGUGAGGUGGAGCCAAUCCCAAAAAGCCGUUCUCAGUACGGAUAAGAGUCUGCAACUCGACUCUUUGAAGGCGGAAUCGCUAGUAAUCCCUGAUCAGCAUAGCAGGGGG
rnacentral:rRNA from 1 species